rnacentral:rRNA from 1 species
AUGGCUCUCGGCUGCGUACGCCUGGGCGCCAAGAUCCUCCGAUUCCUGGCGUCCCGGCAACAGUUCAUGGACGCAAGGAUCAUGCAAUUGGGCAGCCGUCGGCCGCCGAUGGGCGCUGGCGAGCAUGAAUUGGGCUGUCGCCGCGGAGAGUUUCCGCAAUGCGCCAUCGAUUCUUUGCCUUGCGUCCAGUCCGCAAUCGAUUGGGCGUCCGCUGCGGUCACCUGGGCGGAACCUGCUAGUAUCUGGGAGACGUCGCUGUACCAGUGGGCCAUGGUGGCCGGACUCUUUGCGGUGGCUGGCGAGAGCGCGGCCGACGCGGCAGCUUCGUCCUACGCCGGUCGUCGAUUGCCCCCGCUCCACAACCACCCGUGGUCGAUUGCGGCGAUGCGUCGAGCUGUGCGCCAGUCGGCUUCCCCCGUCAAGCCGUCGGUUGCCGUUGCCGACAGGGACCAGGCUAUCCAAGAGCAGACCAAGGAGAGCGUCCGGCCGUCGGUGACCAAGGAGAAGGAAUCCACCCCGGCGGACCAGGGGAGAGAGGAUGAGACGGACGCCGCCGUCAAGACGUCGGUUGUCCAAAAGCACAAGGAGAGCGUCGAUUCUGUCGCGGCCUCGCAGGAGACGGCCCCCAGCUUGGCCAGCGUCGAGCCGUCGGUGACCAAGGAGAAGGAAUCCACCCCGCAGAACCAGGCGAGAGGGCAUGAGACGGCCCCCGCCGUCAAGCCGUCGCUGACCGAGGAGAAGAAAAGUGCCCUGCAGUAUCAGGCGAAGGCAAGGGAUAGGGCGGCCGCCUCCGUCAAGCCGUCCCUGACCGUGGAGACGGCCCGCAAGGCGGCCAUCGGAGAGCAGAAGCCCGGCAAGCUUCCGAACCUGGAGGACGCACUUGAGUUCCCGUUCAUUCCGGCGCCAGAUCGCACCCGGUUGAGGGCAUCUCCAACGCUGGGUGCCUAUCUAGGCGCUUGUGGCAAGAAAAAUAAGUAUCUAGAAACAAAAGGGGAUCUAGCUCCCAUUGAAGAUGCCCUGAGGCCACUAAAGCCUGGGCAGCAGCAGCGCCAGCGCCAGGCCUGA